UACAGAGGUCCCAAGCGUUGUUCGGAUUCACUGGGCGUAAAGGGUGCGUAGGUGGUGAUGUAAGUCUGAUGUGAAAUCUCGGAGCUUAACUCCGAAACUGCAUUGGAAACUACUUUGCUCGAGGGUUGGAGGGGGGACUGGAAUUCUCGGUGUAGCAGUGAAAUGCGUAGAUAUCGAGAGGAACACCAGUGGCGAAGGCGAGUCCCUGGACAACACCUGACACUGAGGCACGAAAGCUAGGGGAGCAAACAGG
rnacentral:rRNA from 1 species